UUUUUCUGUUCUUUUUUUCUUUUUUUCUCUUUUUUCUUUUUUUUCUUUUUUUUAU
rnacentral:ribozyme from 1 species